GGUUGCCUCAGGCCUGGAACCCAAGCGUCUCGACCUCUGUGGUCUGGAAAGCUCCGGAUCCUGAGGGGUGUGACUGGGCUGCGCCCACUUAGGGACUUUGUUUCCUGCUUCAGAGAGAGUCAGAUCUCUGGUGGUGCAGGGAUGUGGUGGAUGGAGUCCUGGGCGUAGCUUCCUCAAGCUUCCUUGCGGCUUUGGUCAGGGCUGGUUGCUGAGGCCCACAGGAAAUAUGCGGUGGAGACCACACAAUCACAUAUCCCAUACUGCAAGCGGUGGCAAAGAAGUAAGUCCUAAGGCUUCAACAUUUUGGAGCUACGGUCAGUUGCAACUAGGUGACCACUGUGGCCUCAGAUGGAGGGGUGAUUGGAAUUCCCCACUGAGCUGUUUCUAUGGUUCAAAACCAAGG
rnacentral:lncRNA from 1 species